rnacentral:rRNA from 1 species
UACGUAGGGUGCGAGCGUUAAUCGGAAUUACUGGGCGUAAAGCGUGCGCAGGCGGUUGUGUAAGACAGGUGUGAAAUCCCCGGGCUUAACCUGGGAACUGCAUUUGUGACUGCAUAGCUAGAGUACGGUAGAGGGGGAUGGAAUUCCGCGUGUAGCAGUGAAAUGCGUAGAUAUGCGGAGGAACACCGAUGGCGAAGGCAAUCCCCCUGGACCUGUACUGACGCUCAUGCACGAAAAGCGUGGGGAGCAAACGAGG